UACGUAGGGGGCAAGCGUUGUCCGGAAUCAUUGGGCGUAAAGCGCGUGUAGGCGGUCCGGUAAGUCCGCUGUGAAAGUCGGGGGCUCAACCCUCGGAUGCCGGUGGAUACUGUCGGGCUUGAGUACGGAAGAGGCGAGUGGAAUUCCUGGUGUAGCGGUGAAAUGCGCAGAUAUCAGGAAGAACACCGAUGGCGAAAGCGGCUCUCUGGAACGGUACUGACGCUGAGACGCGAAAGCGUGGGGAGCGAACAGG
rnacentral:rRNA from 1 species